AUGACGCCCAGCCCGUCCCUCUCGUCAUCCUUUUCGUCCUCCUCCCGGUUGCUGCGGUCGUCGUCGUUGUCCUCGCAGUGCAGCACCAGCGGCAGGCGGAGCAUGGACGAGGAGGCGGAGGCCGUCGUCGCGCCACUGCCGCCGAUGCAGAAGCGAGUGCUGUCGAGGAGCCACGGGUCCAGGGCCGCGCCGGGUCGGCAACUCCCGCCGAAGAACGUCGUCCGGGACGCCGGACCGCCUUCAGAAAUGGAUUUGGUGAAAGAGAGAUUCGCCAAGCUGUUGCUCGGGGAGGACAUGUCCGGCACCGGGAAAGGUGUCUCCUCCGCCCUUGCUCUCUCCAAUUCCAUCACAAACCUUGCAGCCUCCGUGUUCGGGGAGCAGCGCCGCCUAGAGCCCAUGUCGGCCGACCGAAAAGCGCGAUGGAAGAAGGAGAUCGGCUGGCUUCUGUCGGUCACCGAUCACAUCGUCGAAUUCGUUCCAUUGCAACAGGUGUCCGAGGAUGGCACCAGCAUGGAGGUGAUGGGCACCCAGCUACGCAGGGACAUUCUCAUGAACAUCCCCGCCUUGCGAAAACUUGACGCGAUGCUCCUCGGGUAUCUUGACAACUUCAAGGACGAACAAGAGUACUGGUACGUGUCAAAAAACGCCAACGAGAGCGAGAAGGGCGAUGCACCGAGAGACGGCGAGAAAUGGUGGAUCCCAACGGUGAGAGUCCCUCCCGAGGGUCUGUCCGACCAAUCGAGGAAGUGGCUCCAGCACCAGAAGGACCUUGUCGGGCAAGUGCUCAAGGCAGCCAUGGCCAUCAAUGCAAAUGUCCUUGCACAGAUGGAGAUUCCAGAAGAAUACAUCGAGGCUCUACCCAAGAAUGGGAGGGAAAGUCUCGGAGACUCCAUAUACAGAACCAUAACCGAUGAUUAUUUUGACCCAAACGGACUCCUGGACUCCGUAGACCUAUCGACGGAACACAAGAUCGUCGAUCUCAAGGACAGAAUCGAGGCCUCCGUUGUCAUCUGGCAGAGGAAACUCUGCAACAAGCUGUCAUGGGGCCCCGGCGUCAGCUUGGAGAAGCGCGAGCAAUUCGAGGAGCGCGCACAGACCGUCCUGCUCAUCCUCAAGCACAAGUUCCCUGGAUCUGCCCAGUCAUCGCUUGACAUAAGCAAGAUCCAAUACAACAAGGAUGUUGGGUUUGCCAUCUUGGAAAGCUACUCCAGGGCUCUCGAGAGCUUGGCGUUUGCGGUUCUGUCACGGAUCGAGGACGUCCUCUAUGCCGACAACGUCGCUCAGGAUCCGAGGCGCUCGAAAUCGAGGCGGCGGCCUAGAUUAGAGGACGACAUCACUGAGUCUCUCGUUGUCGAUGCCACGGAGGCCACUUCGGCCAAGGCCAGCGAUUCAUUUUGCUGGCAAGAGCUCGAGGACAGGAGCCUGGAUUCCCGCGGUGGCAAGCUGAAGAAGAUCCCCCGUAUCAGCAGGAGGAAAUCUAUGCACGUAGACAAGGUCGAGAUGAACGUGUGCGGUGUUGGUGCUGGAUCAAGAAGCUUUUCUCAUAGGUGA
rnacentral:rRNA from 1 species